rnacentral:rRNA from 1 species
UCCUUAGAUGUCCUGGGCCGCACGCGCGCUACACUGAGUGUCUGAGAUACGAGUCUGCCUGGUCCGGCAAGGUCUAGGUAAUCGCUAAAAGACACAUCAUGCUUGGGAUAGAUUAUUGCAAAUAUUAAUCUUGAACGAGGAAUUCCUAGUAAGCGCAAGUCAACAGCUUGCGUUGAUUACGUCCCUGCCCUUUGUACACACCGCCCGUCGCUACUACUGAUUGGAUGUUUAAGCGAGGUUCUCGAACUGCUAGCGACUUAGCUUCGGUGAGGUCGCAGUGUGGGAAGUGAACCGAGCUUUGGUGUCUAGAGGAAGUAAAAGUCGUAACA